GUUUUGUUUAUCUUUGUAUACUUUAUGCUGUGCGUUCGGAAAGUUUUAUUGAAGUGAUAAAGUAGCGAAAGUGGCCUUUUCUGGAUUAAAUGUAUAGGUUGAGUGGAUUCAUUCAUUUGCGGGUUGUUGGGCUAUGGGACGGCAAUCUUCGUCGGGGAAGAUUGGUCCAUAACCAACCCAUAAUGGUCACGGGACAACCGUGAUAACAAUCUUGCAACUGCAAGAUGAAAUCAGUUUGGCCAAUAAUACAAAUUGGGUGAUCCUCUCCUAACAACUCCACAGGUGGAAAGUGAUGAGGGAAAGAAAGUGUACCCCUCACAUCCUUCUCCGAUCCUGCCAGUGUUGGUAUGGAUCCCCGAAAUCAAUUAAAAUCAACCUUCAGCGGUGUUUGCCGUCGGCGACCGGGGAUAAUUGGUGACUCCCCCACCUCACCAGAAUUCUGGCAAACUGCCGAAAAAUUGAAUAUAAAAGGAAAGAAAAAUAUACGAUUGAAC